UUGAUGUCAAAAGUUGCACCUUCAAACAUUGAGCAUGCCUUAGGAUAGGCUUGAUCUUCUCGCAACAAUGGAAUGUCUCAUCAAACCGCAGAUUACCGUAGAAUGUAAAAAGAAUUGUUGCAUACCUUUAAUGAAGGGAUGAUCGUCGUAUUUCACUAUCACUACUCUUUUAAAAGAGAGGAUAGCCAAAUCAGUAUUCAUUUGUGCACACUCCUUUCACGCUUCAACUAGCUGUAUACUAUUCAUAAACUGAUUCAAUACUAUUCACCAAUAAAUAUCCCUCUCCUUUUCACCGAAUAUCUCAAGUACCACAACUCCUUGUAACCACCACAUCUAUUUCUCUUUCUUCUCCAAACAAAAGCAAACCCUUACCUUUCAAUUUGCGAGUAGACACCUUCUUCUUCAACUUCUUUUAGAGAGAGAGAUUCUUGAAAAGGUUCUUGGUGGAAUGAGAAGAAUGACACAAUUAUUAGGAAAACUCAUUACUUGAUCCAUAAGAGGGAAUUCGCUUCCGAGGUUUGUCUAUUCCUGAAUACGAGAAGGUAUUACCUGCAGCAAAGCUUGGUGCAGAACCAAUGUCUGAGGGCCUCCUUUGGUUUCUUUUAACGAGAAAGGUUGAAUUUCAUUGUUAAAUAGAAUGGGGUAUGAAAUAUUGAAUCCUUUAGGAUAGUUCAUACUUUGUUUUUCUAGGUAAAAGCUAUUUUUGAAGGUUGACAUUUGUUAGGCUUUAUGCUUUCAAGUCCCUCUAGGCCCAAUAAUUCAGGUCCCCACAAAAAGAGCAAGAACAUUCAUUAUCAAAGAAAUAGAGAAGUCAUGCUACCAUUCCAGGUCCUUUAACUCUCAA